UUAGUCCGGCCGAUUGGUGCAGAUAUAGAGCAGAAUUGCUCACUUAAUGAGGAAAGCAUGAAACUUUGCAUAGUAGUUCUUGGUUAUAUACCCUUUGAUUUCAGCUAUGGACCCACUCUGAAAAAUCCAAAAUGGCUGCCAUUUUCAAUAUGGCGGAAAAACGGUAUAAAUAUCAAGAUUGUCCUAAAGGUAUUCUAUAUAAUUUCGGAAAAUAAAGUAAUGAUUCUUCAAAAA
rnacentral:lncRNA from 1 species